rnacentral:ribozyme from 2 species
UCAUUAGUUCCGCCUGUAGCCUCUACGGGGGCUACUGCCGGUCCCAAGCCCGGAUAAAAGAGGAGGGUUGA